CUGCAUGAUUUGAUCAUUUUGAAAACAUUGGUUCUCGUCCAAUCACCGAAGUUAAGCAGCGUCGAGCCUAGUUAGUCCUUAGAUGGGUGAGCGCUUGGGAAACCUAGGUGCUGUAAACG
rnacentral:rRNA from 1 species